rnacentral:rRNA from 1 species
AGAGAGAGACAUGCGCGCAUAUCAAUAAGCGGAGGAAAAGAAACUAACAAGGAUUCCCUUAGUAACGGCGAGUGAAGCGGGAAGAGCUCAAAUUUGAAAUCUUCAAGGUUUUACCUUGACGAAUUGUAGUUUAAAGAAGUGUUUUCUGCUGAAGUUUUGGUAAAAGUUCUUUGGAAUAGGACAUCAUAGAGGGUGAGAAUCCCGUAUUUGACCAUUAUUUUCAGCUUUGUGAUGCACUUUCAAAGAGUCGGAUUGUUUGGGAAUGCAGUCCAAAAUGGGUGGUAAAUUUCAUCUAAAGCUAAAUAUUGGCGAGAGACCGAUAGCGAACAAGUACCGUGAGGGAAAGAUGAAAAGAACUUUGAAAAGAGAGUUAAACAGUACGUGAAAUUGUCAAAAGGGAAGCGUUUGACACCAGUGUUGUUUUCUCGAAAAUCAAUUAAAAAAGGCAGGAUUUUGUGUUGUAUUGACUUUAUCAGCUUUCUGCACUCUUUUCUUGUCUUUUUAAUGCACUUUUCGUUUAACAAGUCAACAUCAGUUUCUUUUGUUGUAAAAGGGUCAUUGGAAGGUGGCUUUCUUUUCGGAGAAAGUGUUUAUAGCCUUUGGCCUCUGCAAUCGGAGAGACUGAGGUCUGCAGCGUAGAUCCUUCGGGGUUAGAUACAUUUGUGCUAAGUUAUAGCCUUUCAUAGACAACUUGUUGACUAUGAUCAGUCAUGUAGCUUACUCGCUUAUGCUAUUUUACCUACGCUUAGGAUGUUGAGUCGUAGAGCACGCAG